rnacentral:rRNA from 1 species
AGGACGAACGCUUGCGACGUGCCUAAGAAAUGCAAGUCGAACGGGGUCAUCCUUCGGGAUGGCCUAGUGGCGAACGGUCGCGUAACACGUGGGCAACCUGCCCUGAAGCGGGGGACAACAACUCGAAAGAGUUGCUAAUACCGCAUGUGUAUCAGAAUGGCAUCAUUCAGGAUACAAAGCCGCAAGGCACUUCAGGAUGGGCCCGCGGCCUAUCAGCUAGUUGGUGAGGUAACGGCCCACCAAGGCUUCGACGGGUAGCUGGUCUGAGAGGACGAUCAGCCGGAUUGGGACUGAGAUACGGCCCAGACUCCUACGGGGGGCAGGCAAUUAGGAAUCUUGCGCAAUGGGCGAAAGCCUGACGCAGCGACGUCGCGUGAAGGAUGAAAUCUUUCGGGAUGUAAACUUCUUUUACCAGGGAAGAAACAAAUGACGGUACCUGGUGAAUAGCCCGGCUAACUACGCGCCAGCAGCCGCGGUAA